rnacentral:lncRNA from 1 species
AUAAUAUUCUUGCAUUUUGCUCAUUUGAUGUCAUAAUGACAAAUUAUACUGAAGAUAUGAAAACAAUGAGGGUGUGCCUACAUUAGCACUUUAGUUUGGCUCAGAAGGACAACCCUGAAGAGCACAUCAUCAUAACCCCCAUUUGCUUAUUUUGAUUCACGUCACAGAGCAGUCACAGAGAGCACACACUGUGUUCCCCUUAGAUGAAACUAAACCAGAAGGUUUGCUCUGGCUGUUAAUGAGCAUCCAGAUCAGGGACCAGGCAAGAGCUAGCUGGAAACAACUCCCCAGCACAACAUACACACUUUGUACAGUGGAUCCUCAGUACCAUUUCUCUGUUCAUCAGCACCUGUUGGGCUAAUAUCAAGUUCCAAGACCGACCAGGAACCAAUCUCCAAUACACAAAUUCACCUGGGACCCACUGCAUCGACCACUACUUCUGUCUGCCAUGGCAGAGGUCAGUAAAUGCUCAUGUAAAUCCAAUUGCUUUUCAUUUAAAGCAUUUGAAAGCCCCAUUGUUUAAAAUGCAAACAUUUCAUAUUGUAUUUCAGCAUUUUUCCUAUGAGAGCAUUGACCCCAAAGUACUGUUAUGGAUUUCAUAAUUCCUGUUCUUCACAAUGAGUGCCAUCAGUAAGUCAGUCAAACUCAUGAAUAAAUACUUAUUAAUAAAAGUAUUGAACUAACCA